UACGUAGGGUCCGAGCGUUGUCCGGAAUUACUGGGCGUAAAGAGCUCGUUGGUGGUUUGUCGCGUUGUUCGUGAAAACUCACAGCUCAACUGUGGGCGUGCGGGCGAUACGGGCAGACUUGAGUACUGCAGGGGAGACUGGAAUUCCUGGUGUAGCGGUGGAAUGCGCAGAUAUCAGGAGGAACACCGGUGGCGAAGGCGGGUCUCUGGGCAGUAACUGACGCUGAGGAGCGAAAGCGUGGGGAGCGAACAGG
rnacentral:rRNA from 1 species